AUACUUACCUGGCAGGGGAGAUACCAUGAUCACGAAGGUGGUUCUCCCAGGGCGAGGCUCAUCCAUUGCACUCCGGCUGUGCUGACCCCUGCGAUUUCCCCAAAUGUGGGAAACUCGACUGCAUAAUUUCUGGUAGUGGGGGACUGCGUUCGCGCUUUCCCCUG
rnacentral:snRNA from 1 species